GACAGAGGGGGCAAGCGUUGCUCGGAAUCACUGGGCGUAAAGAGCUCGUAGGCGGUCUGUUGCGUCGGCUGUGAAAACCCGGGGCUCAACCCCGGGCCUGCAGCCGAUACGGGCAGACUAGAGUUCGGCAGGGGAGACUGGAAUUCCUGGUGUAGCGGUGAAAUGCGCAGAUAUCAGGAGGAACACCGGUGGCGAAGGCGGGUCUCUGGGCCGAUACUGACGCUGAGGAGCGAAAGCGUGGGGAGCGAACAGG
rnacentral:rRNA from 1 species